AUUGAACGCUGGCGGCAGGCCUAACACAUGCAAGUCGAGCGGAUGAAGGGAGCUUGCUCCUGGAUUCAGCGGCGGACGGGUGAGUAAUGCCUAGGAAUCUGCCUGGUAGUGGGGGAUAACGUCCGGAAACGGGCGCUAAUACCGCAUACGUCCUGAUGGAGAAAGUGGGGGAUCUUCGGACCUCACGCUAUCAGAUGAUCCUAGGUCGGAUUAGCUAGUUGGUGGGGUAAAGGCCUACCAAGGCGACGAUCCGUAACUGGUCUGAGAGGAUGAUCAGUCACACUGGAACUGAGACACGGACAAGACUACUACGGGAGGAAGCAGUGGGGAAUAUUGGACAAUGGGCGAAAGCAUGAUACAGCAAUGCCGCGUGUGUGAAGAAGGUCUUCGGAUUGUAAAGCACUUUAAGUUGGGAGGAAGGGAAGUAAGUUAAUACCUUGCUGUUUUGACGUUACCAAAAGAAUAAGCACCGGCUAACUUCGUG
rnacentral:rRNA from 1 species